UGGAAAUGUUUUUUGGGGAUUCAGUUCAUUUGCAUGGCAAAGAAGGACUUUGCAAUUCAUCUGAUCUCUCUUCAUAACAUUCUGGAGUAUAUGCAAAUUGCCAUCAUACAAACUGAGGCAGCAGACUUAGUGAAAAUUAAUAUUUGUGUCAUUCUCAAAACUUUUGGCCACGACCGUACACUACCGGUCAAAAGUUUUAGAAUACCUACCUAUUUCUUUAUUUUUACUAUUUUCUACAUUGUAGAAUAAUAGUGAAGACAUCAAAACGAUGAAAUAACAGAUAUGGAAACAUGUAGUAACCAAAAAAGUGUUAAACACCAGAAGGCGCAGUGCAUCUGGAGAGGCGAAGGUCGAGAGCCAUGCGUCCUCCGAAACACAACCCAACCAAGCCGCACUGCUUCUUGACACAACGCACAUCCAACCCGGAAGCCAGCCGCACCAAUGUGUCGGAGGAAACACUGAACAUCAAAAUGGCCAGAAACAAAUAAUUUUCUUCUGAAACUCGUCAGUCUAUUCUUGUUCUGAGAAAUUUCACAAGGUAUUGGAGUGGCCAUCACAAAGCCCUGACCUCAAUCUUAUAGAACAUUUGUGAGCAGAACUGAAAAAGCGUGUGUGAGCAAGGAGGCCUACAAACCUGACUAAGUUACACCAGCUCUGUCAGGAGGAAUGGGCCAAAAUUCACCUAAUUUAUUUUGGGAAGCUUGUGGAAGGAUACCUAAAACGUUUGACCCAAGUUAAAUAAUUUAAAAGGUUUCUACCAAAUACACUCAAUUAGUAUGUAAACUUCUGACCUACUGGGAAUGUGAUGAAAGAAAUACAAGCUGAAAUAAAUAAUUCUCUGCUAUUAUUCUGACAUUUCACAUUCUUCAAAUAAAGUGGUGAUCCUAACUGACCUAAGACAUGGCAUUUGUACUUGGAUAAAAUGUCAGGAAUUGUGAAAAAUUGAGUUUAAAUGUAUUUGGCUAAGGUGUAUGUAAACCUCUGACUUCAACUGUAUGUAGUAGGUAUAUCUAGCAGGUAUAUGUAAUAUUAUCAGGUAUAUGUAACAAGUAUAUGUAGCAGGUAUAUGUAGCAGGUAUACGAGUGUCUUGCUUCAAUCUACUCCUCUUUCUCUCUAUCAGAACUCCCUUGACACACUACACAGCCAGAGGAAGAGAGAGAAGGAGCUGAUGAGGGAGCAGCAGUUUGCAGGACUGAGGCCUGUGUCUGAGGAGCAAGAAGAGGAGGACGACCCAGAGAGGGAGGUGGAGGAGGAGGUGACUCGCCUUAGGGAGGAACUCCACAGCAAGACCCACGCGGUAAGAAAUCCUUCAAACAUGUUUAAGUCUUUAAAGCCUUUAUACGGCAGGCCUUAAUAAUGCCACCCCCGGGUGUUUACUAUACUAACUGAGUGAUAAAUUAGCAUCUGGACCCAACAUGCAGAAACUAAUAUAAUUAAAAUGGCAGCAUGAUAUUUCAUUUAGCUGCUUACACACUGAAAUGAAAUCCUGCAUGUCAUCCAGCAGAUUUCUUCUCAAUGCAUAAACACGCAGACUUAUUUAACCCUGGCUUCUGUCUUUAAUCAAACAGAAAUGAGUCAGAAGGUGAGAGAGAGAGAGAGAGAUUUUCCCUUGUGUACCCUUAACCAUUUGUACAUCGCUGCAACACUGUAUGUAUACGUAAUAUGACAUUUGUAAUGUCUUUAUUGUUUUGUUUACUGUUAAUUUUGAUUGUUUAUUUCACUUUUGUAUAUUAUCUACCUCACUUGCUUUGGCAAUGUUAACACGUUUCCCAUGCCAAUAAAGCCCCUUGAAUUGAAUUGAGAGAGAGAAAGGUGGAGGAGAGAGAGAGAUGGAGGACAGAGAGAGAGAGAGAGAGAGAGAAAGGUGGAGGAGAGAGAGAGAGAGAGAGGUGGAGGGCAGAGAGAGAGAGAGAGAGUUGGAGAGCAGAGAGAGAGAGAGAGAGAGAAAGGUGGAGGAGAGAGAGAUGGAGGGCAGAGAGAGAGAGAGGUGGAGGGCAGAGAGAGAGAGAGGUGGAGGGCAGAGAGAGAGAGAGGUGGAGGGCAGAGAGAGAGAGAGAGAGAAAGGUGGAGGAGAGAGAGAUGGAGGGCAGAGAGAGAGAGAGGUGGAGGGCAGAGAGAGAGAGAGAGAGAAAGGUGGAGGAGAGAGAGAUGGAGGGUAGAGAGAGAGAGAGGUGGAGGGCAGAGAGAGAGAGAGGUGGAGGGCAGAGAGAGAGAGAGGUGGAGGGCAGAGAGAGAGAGAGGUGGAGGGCAGAGAGAGACUCCAUAAUCACUCCUCUGUGAAAUACAGCACAAUAAUAAUCUGACAUUACUUGUUAUACUGGGAGGAAUAAUCCCAUUUGUGGCUGAGGAGACUGGCUGACCUGGCCAGAGGCACUGAUACCGACCACAUGUGCUUCCACAAUGGCCCCCUUUUCCCUCUAUAGUGCACUACUUUUGACCAGAGCCCCAUAGCUGCACCAUAUAGGGAAUAGGGUGUCAUUUGGGACUCCGACCACAUCUGACUGACUAACUAACUCCCCCCUAAGAGUAGAAGAGGCCUGGACAAGAAGUUGACUUGCUUCCAAGGGGUGGCGCUACAGAGUAAUGUUUGUAGCCUUACAAAACAUGCCUCAAAUUGGGACACAUUUCUCGUCAGACCCCCCAAAAAAAAAUCCCACAUUUGAAAAAUGUAACUAAGCGCACGGCGUCGUUCCUUUGCCGUACACUCUUAGGACGUGCUAUCUAGAAUUUAAAAGGGUUAUUCGGGUGUACCCAUAGGAGAACCCUUUGAAGAACCCCUUUUGGUUCCGAAAAUGGUUCUACACGGAAUCAAAUAGGGUUCUCCUAUUUGGGAGAACCAUUUUGAAACCUUUUUUUCUGAGUGUAGAAAGUCUGGUCAAAUGAAAGGAGUAGAUCUGUAGAUUCAACCUUCAGUUCAGCUUAAAAAUCAACCAUUUCCCUCCAUACCAGAUGUCAGCGAUGAGUGUGGAAAUCAGCGAUCUGAAAGAGAGAAAUGAAAACCUCCAGAAAGGUGAAAGAUGUGAAUGAAUCAGUCCCAUUAGAAAUCUAUCUAGGCUUCUGAUCUGUGUGUGGAAGUCUUAGAUCUCAGUGGGUAGUGGCAGUGUACAGUACCAGUCAAACGUUUGGACACACCGACUCAUUCAAGGGUUUUUCUUUAUUUUUGGUUUGACUAUUUUCUACAUUGUAGAAUAAUAGUGAAGACAUCAAAACUAUGAAAUAACAAAUGGAAUCGUGUAGUAAUCAAAAAAGUUUAAAACAAAUCAAAAUAUAUUUUCAAUUUGAGAUUCUUCAACCUAGUCACCCUUUGCUUUGAUGACAGCUUUGCACACUCUUGACAUACUCUCAACCAGCUUCAUGAGGUAGUCACCUGGAAUGCAUUUUUGAUUUGUUUAACACUUUCUUUGGUUACGACAUGAUUCCAUAUGUCUUCAUUGUUUCGAUGUCUUCACUAUUAUUCUACAAUGUAGAAAAUAGUUUUUAAAAAAUAAGAAAAACCCUGUAAUGAGUAGGUGUGUCCAAACUUUUGACUGGCACUGUAUAUACAGCUGGCAGAUUUGGAAUGGUUUCAGAUGGCAGUUUUCUGACCCUGGCUAUGCCUAACCCUAACCAUACCUUAACAUUAACCUUAACUUAACCAAUUUCGAUCACUCUGCUUGACCUUAACCAUUGGAUCUGCUGACUGAAUAUCCACUGCUUGGGAUUAAUGUGUGUGCUUAAAAUCCAUGUGCUUAUGUCCUCCAGAACAGGGGCAUACCGGUACCCAAAACUGGACUAGUACAGUAUAAUUGUCAGCUUAGCAUUUGAUAAUCAAACUGAGAUAAUGCAAAUCAAAAACUGCUCAGGCUUCCUUCUAGAUCUGAGUUGGUUUGUUAUACCAGACAUAUUAAAGUGUUCGGGUGAAGAGAACUCAGAACCCAGAGAGGGCAACACAAUUAAUUAAACAAUCUCAGCACCCAGAACCACAUUUUGAGACUACUCAGGAAAAACAUUACAGCACUUAUUUUUCCGAUGGAAUGCUUCCAGGUUGAAAGAAGCAUUAUGACAUCACUUGACGUGAACAUUCCCUCAGAGUGGUUAUGGGUAAAGCCUCUGUUCUGGAUCUCCGGCGCUUUUUCUGAUCUGAAAUGGCUUCGGAAAUGAUCGUGUUUGACAACAUUACAUCAACAGACCGUCAUCUACUAAACUGAAAAAAUUAUUUAAAUGAUGUUGAAUUAAUCUGAUUCCAUGUGUGCUGUUAUGUUGACCUGACCUAACCAACCUAGGUCACAGUAAAACCACUUAUGAAGGCUUUAUGCCGAAAUGUUUUUAAAGUGAUCAAUGCCCAUUACAUCUAAAAAUCCAUUUGGGUGUCUAGCACUUGGGAUUUUUUAAAUUACUCAACACUUUUAGUUGGGUUUGAUUUCCCUGUUUUCCUGACCCAGCCAAGCUAAGGUUUCAGCCACAGAUCCAAGGGUUGGGCGCCACAGCGUCUAACUCUUCAGAGAAGACCACGUCAGAGAGUGAGGAGCCUCUUCUAUUGGAGAGAGACAUGCAGAGGGGAUCAUCAUCAUCAUCAUCACCACCACCCCGCUGGGAAGAUGGAGUGUUCCUGGCUAGGCAGGUGCAGAUCGGCAGCCCUGAAUUGGAGGGGGAGGAAGAGGAAGAUGGAGGCUGUGGCUGAUGCAUACCUGGUCCUAAUUUGCUCCCUACCCCUUCUCCUUGGCCCUGAACUACUUCAAGGUUGUCAGAUCUGAAGCAUCUAUAUACGUAGAAGCAGUAUUGUUGUAGAGCUUCCACUAUAUUGCUUCCACCCCUACAGAUCUGCAAACAUUGAAGCUAAUGGAGUCCUCAGUCUUCGUGUGAAGUCUUACUAUAGUCAUGCAAUGAUACAAAUCCUAAAAAGGUUGUACAAACCAGUGUUAAUGUCAAUCUACUGAUUAGUGGUUAUAAAUGUGGUGCUUUUGUUGAUGAUUAACAAUGAAACAGGAAGUGAAAUGUGUUCCAUUGAUAAUAGUGAGAUGACAACAGAGGAUGAUUUUCUGUAAUACGCCUACGCUAUAUAAGCUAAUGAUCCAAUGAAUAGGGCUGUGUAAUAGUAGUAAUGUUAAUGUGGUUAAUACAUUAAAACUACAAUGUUACCACAUACAGCACAACAAUUCUGGAGGUUUGUGAUUUGCCCAUUUUGUUGUAAUUAAAAAACGAUUGCAUUAACUCA
ensembl:lncRNA